GCAAUUGGGUAAUUGCGCUGUCCUUUUGGAUGGUGAGGAAAGUCCAUGCUCGCACAAUCUGAGAUGAUUGUAGUGUUCGUGCCUAACGAAACAAUAAGUUAGGGCAGUUAAUCAUUAACUGACGGCUGGGAACGUACCUAAGUCUUUAGAUAGGGUAUUAUUACCUUUAAAAGUGCCACAGUGACGAUGUCGUUUGGAAACAAACGAAGUGGAACGGGUAAACCCCACGAGCGAGAAACCCAAAUUUGGUAGGGGCACUCCUAAAGCAGAAAUGAAUGCAUAUGGGAGGUAAAGUGAAAACUUUACAGACAGAUAAUUACCGCCUGAGUACGAGGAGGCAUCCGCUUGAGUACAACGGUACAGAACAUGGCUUAUAGAU
rnacentral:RNase_P_RNA from 2 species